UGUUUUCUGCGUCCUGAAACUUUGCAGAUAUCUAAAAUAAAGAUGAACGGACUGGAACGUGCGCAGAAUGUCUGAGUCCGAAGCAACAAGAAGGCUGGUGGAUGCCGUUGAGGCGGGUGACGAGGA